CAUCCUCCCCCGACUGAUACAGUGACGUUCCCCCUUCUUGACAUCCUGGCCUCGUUGACAGCUCACAACAUCACGUGACUCACGCGUGCUACUCCACCUUCCUCCUCUACCUUCUCCCAACGGCUCCCCAGCAAUUUCCAGGAGCUGCUUUUAUUUCAUUCACUAAACAAUUUAUGAAUUGAAUUAAAAUAAAUGAGAUGCAAAUAAAUUCCAGGCUUUCUCCCUCAUUUUCAAAUUACAUUUUCAGUCCACUCAACCUGUUAUAAUCUCAUAGUGAUUUUCAUUUAAGAGAGCUAAAUGGAUAUGUGAUUAUUGUUACAGGAACUAACACCAGACAAUUAAAUGUUGAGGUGUUGAUAGAUAAAGCUGUGUUUCGAUUUGCAUAAACAUGAUGCCAGCAAAUCUAACCCUGGCAGAAAUUCAGUUAUAAGACUUGCGUGCCUAACUUCUGCUAAUUACCACGAGUACCAUUAUUACGACUUUUAAUAUUUGGAGUUGGGAUUAUGGCCAUUUUAUUUGAGGGCUGCAUUUAUCUUUAUUUCAAAAACUCAGUCAAAAUGCAUCACUGACUUAUCAGAGAAAAGGCACGAUUACUACUCCUAAUCAACUUCUACGGUGCAGUGUAUCAAAAAUCAAUUAUACAGCCCUGAAAUCCAGUCAUUAAGGAUUUAGUUACUAAUCUCAUUUCAUUUUUGUCUUUAGGAACAUACUGCAGCUUGCAACUCUACAGAUACCAGCAGAGGAAGAAAAACACGGGCGACUGCUGAUAACCUAAUGCGGAGAAUUAAACUCCAACUAAACAAAGGAAGCCUUCCCUGAUGCCUGCAGGGUGGAUGAGAGCUCCUCCUCUGUGAUCCCACCAAGCCCUGGAUGCUCCUCCAGCUUCUCGCUCAACCCACUGGAUUAUCCUGAGUUCAUCUGUUCUACCAGACUGUCAACUCCUUGAGCCUAGAGAGUGUGUUAUAAAACUUAUUUAGCAAAGCACACAGUAGGGCAUAGGCACCAGGUCAUUUGUUAAGUUGGCCAAACAGUGAAAGUUGACAGAGAAAAUGGCAAGUGUGAAAAGAACACCAAAGGGAAUCUCUACUUUCAGCUGAAGGGAAGAAAGGAGCCAUGGAGGCUUGGGAGACGGCCUCAGCUCCUGAGGAAAGGGGGUGUACCCUGCCACUUCGUGGGGACAAGUUGGA